CACCUAUAAAUACAGCCCCCUCUUCUCUCUUUACUUCCAAUAUCAGCUCACACAUUAUUGCUCUGUUUAUUUUCAUUUCAUUUCAUUUCGUUUGAUAAAAUGUAUGACAAAAUCUGUUAAGCUCAGGAGGGAUAGCGCCACUGGGUCUUUCUGCAUGUGUGUUCCCUUUUGUAUGUGUGUUGAUGUGUAAUCACUAUACGUUGCGCUAUCCAUCCUGAGUUUCAUGGAAUUUUCAUACUCUGCUGCUCUCCACAUUACUUGAACAAAUCCUACAUUCACAAUGCUGCAUGUAUCUAGAUCUUCCUCGGCACGUGUUGCUACGAGAGUCUUGUGCACUGUGAAGCUAGCAAGACUCAAGUUGAUUGUUUGGAGGUACAAGACAAUGAGGAGAAGGUAAAAACUAAUAAAGAGACAAGUAUGCAAGCCUAACAAAUGUGAAAUCCAAUGAAAUGGUAGUUUCUAUUCUGUGAAUGCAAUCUUCUUCUUUUUAUA